rnacentral:rRNA from 1 species
GGACUUGACGGUACCCCCACCUAACUAGAGGAGCCUGUUCUAUAAUCGAUAAUCCCCGAUAUACCUAACCACUUCUUGCUUUCAGCCCGUAUACCUCCGUCGUAAGCUUACUGUGUGAAUAUAUAAUAGUGAGCUAAAUGGCCACCACACCAUAACGUCAGGUCAAGGUGCAGCCUAUGAAGUGGAAGUAAUGGGCUACAAUCUCUAACCUAAAACAAACGAAAUACUUUAUGAAACAUAGUCACGAAGGAGGAUUUAGCAGUAAAUAAGGAAUAGAGAGCCUUAUUAAACUCAGCCCUGGGGUGUGUACACACC